rnacentral:rRNA from 1 species
GAUGAACGCUGGCGGCGUGCCUAAUACAUGCAAGUCGAGCGAACGGACGAGAAGCUUGCUUCUCUGAUGUUAGCGGCGGACGGGUGAGUAACACGUGGAUAACCUACCUAUAAGACUGGGAUAACUUCGGGAAACCGGAGCUAAUACCGGAUAAUAUUUUGAACCGCAUGGUUCAAAAGUGAAAGACGGUCCUGCUGUCACUUAUAGAUGGAUCCGCGCUGCAUUAGCUAGUUGGUAAGGUAACGGCUUACCAAGGCAACGAUGCAUAGCCGACCUGAGAGGGUGAUCGGCCAAACUGGAACUGAGACACGGUCCAGACGACUACGGGAGGCAGCAGUAGGGAAUCUUCCGCAAUGGGCGAAAGCAUGACGGAGCAACGCCGCGUGAGUGAUGAAGGUCUUCGGAUCGUAAAACUCUGUUAUUAGGGAAGAACAAAUGUGUAAGUAACUGUGCACAUCUUGACGGUACCUAAUCAGAAAGCCACGGCUAACUACGUG